GACGAACGCUGGCGGCGUGCUUAACACAUGCAAGUCGAACGGAGUGGCGAACGGGUGAGUAACACGUGGGUGAUCUGCAUUUCACUUCGGGAUACGCUUGUGCAACUGGGUCUAAUACCGGAUAGUGCAAGAUGAGCUCGCGGCCUAUCAGCUCGUUGGUUGGGUAAUGGCCUACCAAGGCGUCGACUGGUAGCCGGCCUGAGCGGGUGUACGGACACAUAGGGACUGAGAUACGGCCCUGACUACUACGUGAGGCAGCAGUGGGGAAUAUUGCACAAUGGGCGGAAGCCUGAUGCAGCGACGCCGCGUGGGGGAUGAAGGCAUUCGGGUUGUAGACUCCUUUCGACAGGGACGCGGUACCUGUAUAAGAAGCACCGGCUAACUACGUGCCAGCAGCCGCGGUAAUUC
rnacentral:rRNA from 1 species